CGAAAUCCUAAAACCCCAAAACCAUCAGCCAUCCCACAACCAUGUCCUCCUUCGCCGCCGCCAGGUCCGUCCUCCGCUCCUCUGCGGCGCGAACCACCGUGCCCUCGAGGCUCGCCUCCGCCGCCAGUCCCAAACCAGCCUCCUCACCAUUUCGCAUCCCCAAACCAACCCAAAGCCUCUCCGCUCCUCGCAUUUUCAGGUCGCCUGUGGAGUUGAGCUGCUGCGUGGAGACGAUGCUUCCGUACCACACAGCCACAGCCUCUGCAUUGCUCACUUCGAUGCUCUCCGUCUCUCAGCGCUCCUACGGUUGGACCUCCGAAGAUUGCAAUGAUGAUGUAUGAUGAAUAUCAGAGGGUUCGAGCAAAGUUUUAUGUACUUGCGCUCUAAGACAAGGUGGUGAAUAAAACUCUUAAAUUUCUUGAUGUAAGGGGAACUAAAAAUUAAAUAUCGGUGCUUCCUAAUGUUUUUUUUUUUUUUUUUUUGGUUUAAAGUCUUUUAUCUAUUUGUACUGUGAUGAUGGUGAUGAAAAAUGACGACAAUGUUAGUGUUUCCUCAUUAAUUGGGUCAAGAAUUGCACUUUUGUACAUUUCGGUUUCACUUCACCUGAUGGUUUCAUUGAUUUUUUUAACCAUAACUGUAUAAAUCAUAUAUCUACUCUUUACUUUUGUUGUCAAAUUUCAAGGGUGAUGGUUGUAGUAGAUUCUUCUACUUGCCGAAAUCUGUUAAUCGCAUAAUCAUAUCAUGCUUUGACUUCGAUUCUGAUGCAUAUUGACAACUCUGGACCUAGAACAUUAAUUGUCUUCUUCCCACGGCCUUGGCCAUCUGUUUCCAAAUACUUCAUAAGCUGCUUCACUUCUUUUGACUAUGCCUGUUUCUUUGUUUUGGGCUGUGAUGAAUGAUGAUUUCUCAUUAGCUGACUUCAAAAUUUGGCUCGGAGACUUACCAUGUUGCGCUUCUGUUUGCUUUGCUUAUGAAGUUUAAGUUAUGGAUGAUUGUUAUCUGUUGGAAUGCGGUGCAUCGGUCGUAGUUUUCAUGGAUUUCAAUGGACUUUGUAGGACUUGCUUGAGACUUGAGGCAUGCUUCAUCCUAGUUUAAUCCACAGAGUUGUAUUUGUUCUACAAUCAUUCACCAAGUAGGUGCCAUAAUGAUGAUUUAUGUUAUUUUUAUGAUUAAAUUUCCCUUCUUGACAUCUCGAUCAUAACGAGGUUGAGGGCAAACAUGUUGAUGCAAUUUCCAAUCUCCGGUCUUGUUGAUU